rnacentral:rRNA from 1 species
AUUGAACGCUGGCGGAAUGCUUUACACAUGCAAGUCGAACGGCAGCACGGACUUCGGUCUGGUGGCGAGUGGCGAACGGGUGAGUAAUACAUCGGAACGUGCCCAAUCGUGGGGGAUAACGUAGCGAAAGCUACGCUAAUACCGCAUACGAUCUAAGGAUGAAAGCGGGGGAUCGCAAGACCUCGCGCGAUUGGAGCGGCCGAUGGCAGAUUAGGUAGUUGGUAGGGUAAAGGCCUACCAAGCCGACGAUCUGUAGCGGGUCUGAGAGGAUGAGCAGCCACACUGGGACUGAGACACGGCCCAGACUCCUACGGGAGGCAGCAGUGGGGAAUUUUGGACAAUGGACGCAAGUCUGAUCCAGCCAUUCCGCGUGCAGGAAGAAGGCCCUCGGGUUGUAAACUGCUUUUGUACAGAACGAAAAGGCUCUGGUUAAUACCUAGGGCUCAUGACGGUACUGUAAGAAUAAGCACCGGCUAACUACGUGCCAGCCGCCGCGGUAA